CUCUGCUUUCACAUGGCACAGCUCCCAGUGUUUGGAAACAGAGCCUUUCCUAUUCCAGGCCAGGAUCUCGUCUGGCCUGCAGUUAGAGGCAUCAUACUCAGCUCACACCCUCCGGUGUGUCAAUGACCUUGAAAUACAAUGCAGAGAACGUAAGAGAUUCUUCUUGACAGUGACCAUCCUCGAUCCAGAAAGCAUACUUGGAGAAUACCAAGUCCGGGUCUUUUCAUCAACUCGAGGUCAACUCAAUUUCCAUAUCAUCUGGUAAGGUCAGUAGGAAACUGAAGCUGCUCAACCACAUGGAGAACAACUUGAAUUUAAACUCAAGUUGCCAAGCCCCUCUGAGGGAAGGCAGGGAAGAGACAAGCUCUCUGACAUCCAGUGGGACGCUGAACAAUGGUGGUUGCCACAGAACUGGAUAGGAAGGACACU
rnacentral:lncRNA from 1 species